UACGUAGGUGGCAAGCGUUGUCCGGAAUUAUUGGGCGUAAAGCGCGCGCAGGCGGUCCCUUAAGUCUGAUGUGAAAGCCCACGGCUCAACCGUGGAGGGUCAUUGGAAACUGGGGGACUUGAGUGCAGAAGAGGAAAGUGGAAUUCCAUGUGUAGCAGUGAAAUGCGUAGAGAUGUGGAGGAACACCAGUGGCGAAGGCGACUUUCUGGUCUGUAACUGACGCUGAGGCGCGAAAGCGUGGGGAGCAAACAGG
rnacentral:rRNA from 1 species